GGCUAUUUAGCUCAGUUGGUUAGAGCACGGUGCUGAAAACACCAAGGUCUCAGGUUCCAUUCCUGAACUGGCCA